GGUUUAGGUAACAACUUUGACAUGGGAGGGAUGGAUUUUUCGAAUUUCGGUAACAUGGGAGGCAUGGGAGGUUUGGGAGGGGUGGGUGAUGAUGGUGAAUUUGAUGACAGUGAUGACGAGGACCAAGAAGUGUCAAAGCCUGACAAGGCAGAAGGAGCUGCAAAGACAGAUGAUCAAGAAAAUCUAGAAGAGAAAAAGGAAGCUGCUCCAAGCACAUGAUUUAGUUGAGAUGUUAAUUUACUAAAAUGAUAGUUGCUCGUUUAAAUUUUUAAGUAUUUAUGACAAAUUAAAGGAGUGCCUUUUUCCUUAGCUGAGUGGAGUUGAGAUUU
rnacentral:misc_RNA from 1 species